CGCGGCCUCGCGCGGUGUGCUCUCGCGCGGUGUGCCCUCGCGCGGCGCGGCCGGCGGCCCGGCCGGGACGGACCAGACGACCGUCCCGUCGGCCGCGUCCA
rnacentral:tRNA from 1 species